UGUUUACUCCCUCCGUUCCAAAAUACUUGACUUCCAUUUGUCCAAAAAUGGAUGUACCUAUAUACUAAAACAUGUCUAGAUACACAUAUAUUUUGACAAAUAGAAGGCAUGUAUUGUGCAACGGAGGGAGUAGAAU
rnacentral:pre_miRNA from 1 species